AUUAACAAAACUUAGUACGAGAAUUCUGAGUUUUCGAAGGGUUGCUGAUUGGAUCACUAGCUUAGUGCUAAAGAAUUGAGGUAAAUUAUAGGGUUUUGGGUCCAUAAUUGAAGGGAACUAUACUGUUUCUUAUUUAGAGACUGGGGACUGUGAGGUUGGAAUAUCAUGGGUUGCAUUUGCUCCAAAGGAAGUUCUGUACAUGAGCAUAUCAUGGGCUGCAUUAACACUCCAUUUGUCUGAUAGACUUUUGUUUCUCUUUUCAGGUUCGACAUGGUCCUGGUUUUUACGACUGCAGCUUGACAAUGGAACAUGGUGAAAAUAGUCAUGAUAAAGUAGUGGUUGUCCAAUUAUUAACGUACAUCCUCAUAACCCUAUUCUUCUUAUAAAAUCUAGAUUUUUCUAGGCUGAAAGCAUGAUUGUGAUCAAGGGUUAUUUGUGAGACUCGCCAUUUACCAUCAAGGCAUAAUACAAUCCUAAUCUUAGCUUUACAUCCUGUUUUACUGUUUGGAGGCUUUUUUAAGACAUUCUUUGAAUUGCUUACUGUUUGUAUGGUUCGAGAGCAUGAAAGAACCACACAAUUAACCUCCCCAUCAUCACCCUUUUCCGAAGAUCUUUUCUUCAUUGGGAACCCUUGUUUGUUAGCAUAUUUAAUGUAAUAUUCAACACAAGCAUCAAUAUUGUCAAAUUUCAUUCCUAUUUCUGGAUCUUUUAUCUCAUCUACAGCUACUGUACUCUUCACACACUCAUCAAAUUCUGAAUUAUCAUUCAUAUCAUUCUCCUCAAUAUGUUCAUUCAUCUCUGUACUUAAAGAUAUAUUUAAUGAUUUUGUUUCUAUUUGUGCCCAAAAAAACCUGUACAGAAAAAAAAAACAAAAAACUUAAUCCAAAAUUAGGGAUUUUUCUCUGUAAUAUUUUUUUGAACCAUGUAUGGAGAGGGUAAGAUGAUAUCAAUUAAAAGAGAGAAUGUUUUUUGUUUGAACUCUGUUUUUCGAUAUCAAUUAAUCUAUUUGUGCACAAAAUUAAACCAAGAUGAUUAAAUCUCAAGAGGAAAAAAGUGUUACCUGAGAUAGAGAUUGUCGAACAUGAGAUGGUAAACGGAAUGCUCGAGAUCGCUAUGAUAGAGAGGAAAGAUUAAUUUUCGUAGUAGAUAUUUAGGAUGAGCAGAUGAUUAUAUUUCGCAUAACUAUUUUGACGGGAUGGAACCUGUCUCUGUUUGAUGUUAUUCAUCCAUACUUGUUUCUUUCUUUUGAUAACUGUAGCCUGUAGGAUGGCUUUUUAAUCUUUUUCUUAUCUUUGGGGACCCACGGUCUAAUAUGUUUGUCUAAUAUGCCAUGUUUUAGUGCAGUGUAUCUAACCAACAGUCAGGAGUCAGGCGGUCAGCAGUCAAAUUUCAAAGUAAA
rnacentral:lncRNA from 1 species